AUUGAACGCUGGCGGCAUGCCUUACACAUGCAAGUCGAACGGCAGCACGGGAGCUUGCUCCUGGUGGCGAGUGGCGAACGGGUGAGUAAUAUAUCGGAACGUACCCUAGAGUGGGGGAUAACGCAGCGAAAGUUGCGCUAAUACCGCAUACGAUCUACGGAUGAAAGUGGGGGAUCGCAAGACCUCAUGCUCAUGGAGCGGCCGAUAUCUGAUUAGCUAGUUGGUGGGGUAAAGGCCUACCAAGGCAUCGAGUCAGUAGCUGGUCUGAGAGGACGACCAGCCACACUGGAACUGAGACACGGUCCAGACUCCUACGGGAGGCAGCAGUGGGGAAUUUUGGACAAUGGGGGGCAACCCCUGAUCCAGCAAUGUCGCGUGAGUGAUGAAGGCCUCGGUU
rnacentral:rRNA from 1 species